UACGUAGGGUGCGAGCGUUGCCCGGAUUUAUUGGGCGUAAAGGGCGCGUAGGCGGCCACGCACGUCCGUUGUGAAAUCGCCCGGCUCAACUGGUCGGGGUCAGCGGAUACGGUGUGGCUAGAGCAAGCUAGGGGGCAAUGGAAUUCCCGGUGUAGUGGUGGAAUGCGUAGAUAUCGGGAGGAACACCAGUGGCGAAGGCGGUUGCCUGGAGCUUUGCUGACGCUGAUGCGCGAAAGCGUGGGGAGCGAUCCGG
rnacentral:rRNA from 1 species